rnacentral:tRNA from 1 species
GUCCUCGUAACUCAGCUGGAUAGAGUGCUAGCCUCCUAAGCUGGAAGUCGCAGGUUCGAAUCCUGCCGAGGACG